CCCUAGCAUUACUCAAAUUUUCUGUCAUCAAGCCUCCAACUUGAAUCAAUUUUUAGAAGGUAGAAGAGGCAGAGCGGCGCUGCGGCAAGGUUGAAUAUGGUAGUUAACAGGAGACCGGCUGUGCUGUACCACUACUCUUGUCCGGAUCUACUUCUCCGCCGUCUCUGCCGAACCCCUCUUUUUCCCCAACACCGUUUACAGCCCCAUCACCCCCCAACACUUCCCUCUCCCCAACAUCGACCACCUCUACCUCCUCGACUUCGUGGGUCCCCCCGGUUUUGUCCAGAAGAUCUCCUCCAUGGUCCCAAACGUCGUGGUCUUGGACCACCACAAGAGUGCCAUUGGAACCCCCAUUGGCGGAAAUGUGGCCGGCGUCGUAGACAUGAACAGGUGCGGCGCCACCAUCGCUUUCGAGUAUAUCGAAGAUGGUGAUCUAUGGAGGUGGAAGCUUCCCAACAGUAAAGCUUUCAGUAGUGGUCUCAAAGAUUUGAACCUUCAGUACGACGUCGGGCUGAACCCAUCUUUGUUCCAAUACGGGCAUUGGUGCUGUUGUAUACAGAGUGCCUGAGCUUGAAAAUGACCAAAUGCUAAAAAUAAGCCUUAGGAGUGUGGACACCGAAGACACAACACUCAUCUCACAGGGUGUUCUCUCAUCAUAUGGAUUUUCUUUCUGCCUGUUAAACAUGGAAUUAACUGGCACAUAUACGUAGUACUUUGGGAAAAGCUAAAAUGCGUUUUGCAUUUUCUUCUCAGGAAUUAGUAGUCGGUGGGCAUCGAAAUGCUAGUUCCUUCAUGGUAGGCUCUGCAGAAUUCAAGCAGUGGAAACUGUGAAGAUUGAUAUGACAUUCAAGAGGUUAUUUACUGUUAAUUAACACCAAUUCCGGUAACCAUCCAUGUACUCAUCUUCACUGAUCAGUUAGUUUGUGAAGGCCACAUGAGAGAGCUGAUCUUCACCACUGACACCGGUGUUAGAAGAACACUGCAUCCACGUAUCAUCUGUGAUGAACUGCAUCCAGGAAUCGUCUUUGUCAUCUUCCUCCUGCAGGCAUGAGAUCGACGAUGACGAUGCCAUCAGAAUCUCCGGUGACAUGGUUUGAUCACAAUGAUCAUUGUUUACACCUUGUGAUCGUUCAUGAAUAUUAUUUAGUGUUAAAUGACUUGAUUGGCCUUGCUGCUCUUCAA